rnacentral:ribozyme from 1 species
UUGUUUGCUUCUCUUUUUCUUCCUUUCUCUAUGUCCUUUUUUCUUCUUUCUUUUCUCCUCCUUUCCUUGUUUGUGAUUG